GCCACCGUAGCUCAGUCGGCAGAGCAAACGCUUCGUAAGCGUUGGGUCAAGGGUUCGACUCCCUUCGGUGGCU
rnacentral:tRNA from 1 species